rnacentral:rRNA from 1 species
GAUGAACGCUUGCUACAGGCUUAACACAUGCAAGUCGAGGGGAAACGACAUCGAAAGCUUGCUUUUGAUGGGCGUCGACCGGCGCACGGGUGAGUAACGCGUAUCCAACCUGCCCAUCACUUGGGAAUAACCUUGCGAAAGUAAGACUAAUACCCAAUGAUAUCCCACGAAGGCAUCGGAAUGGGAUUAAAGAUUUAUCGGUGAUGGAUGGGGAUGCGUCUGAUUAGCUUGUUGGCGGGGUAACGGCCCACCAAGGCAACGAUCAGUAGGGGUUCUGAGAGGAAGGUCCCCCACAUUGGAACUGAGACACGGUCCAAACUCCUACGGGAGGCAGCAGUGAGGAAUAUUGGUCAAUGGGCGAGAGCCUGAACCAGCCAAGUAGCGUGCAGGAAGACGGCCCUAUGGGUUGUAAACUGCUUUUAUAAGGGAAUAAAGUGGGUCACGUGUGACUUUUUGCAUGUACCUUAUGAAUAAGGUCCGGCUAAUUCCGUG